GGGAGGCAGCAGUGAGGAAUAUUGGUCAGUGGACGAGAGUCUGAACCAGCCAAGUAGCGUGAAGGAUGAAGGUUUAUGGAUUGUAAACUUCUUUUAUACGGGAAUAACGAAUCCACGCGUGGAUUUUUGCAUGUACCGUAUGAAUAAGGAUCGGCUAACUCCGUGCCAGCAGCCGCGGUAAUACGGAGGAUCCGAGCGUUAUCCGGAUUUAUUGGGUUUAAAGGGAGCGUAGAUGGGUUGUUAAGUCAGUUGUGAAAGUUUGCGGCUCCACCGUAAAAUUGCAAUUGAUACUGGCAGUCUUGAGUACAGUUGAGGUAGGCGGAAUU
rnacentral:rRNA from 1 species